GGCUCAAUGGUCUAGGGGUACGAUUCUCGCUUAGGGUGCGAGAGGUCCUGGGUUCAAAUCCCGGACGAGCCC
rnacentral:tRNA from 1 species